rnacentral:rRNA from 1 species
UACGUAGGGGGCAAGCGUUAUCCGGAUUUACUGGGUGUAAAGGGAGCGUAGACGGCUGUGCAAGUCUGAAGUGAAAGGCAUGGGCUCAACCUAUGGACUGCUUUGGAAACUGUGCAGCUAGAGUGUCGGAGAGGUAAGUGGAAUUCCUAGUGUAGCGGUGAAAUGCGUAGAUAUUAGGAGGAACACCAGUGGCGAAGGCGGCUUACUGGACGAUGACUGACGUUGAGGCUCGAAAGCGUGGGGAGCAAACAGG